rnacentral:lncRNA from 1 species
UGAGAUAUAAUUGCAGUUCCCCAUCCUUUUGUGAUUAAGAGAACUUUUUCUGGCACUACAUUUGUGUUUCAAUUCAUCUAGCAGAAGCAUCAAAACAAAAUACUGUUGUAGAUUAGGCAGACGAGGGUGGUGCUCGUAGGCAUUUAAGCACUAAGGAUUUUCCCAUGUUUAUGGCCAAUUUGACUACUUUAUUUGCCUUAUGGUAUAUACAUUAAACUUGAUGCUCUCAACCAAAUUGGGAAAUUCCUAUUUUGUCAGCUACCCCAGUUCUUAUCGUUCAAGGAAUGUGCUCACCUUUCUUGGGUGGUUUCAGUUCUGCAUAUGAAACAUUAUCUUCAUCCCUUUAUCUAGGCUUCUGAAGUCCCCUGGAAAACUUAUUACCCACUAUCAGAAUUCAGAAGCCAUAGAAUUUUCUGGAUAACCAAAAAAAAAAAAACUGUCACAGCAUUUCAGGUUCCUGUUUACUGAUGCACUGAGAUGUUAAAGUGUGUGCUGGCAAUAAGUUAAAAUGCCAUUUGUUUUGACUCUAAACAAAUUUUUGUUAAGAUCUAAACAAAUUUUUGUUAUGACUCUAAACAAAUUUUUGUUAAGAUUGUUAAAUUGUAAUCUAAUCAUUCAUCUGGCAGUAAUAAUUUAUAUAUUCAUGAAAGAUGUGAGUAUGCCCGUAAUCUUAUUAUUAAAGUAUAUUGUGUACCUGGA